UGAAACACGGACCAAGGAGUCUAGAAUGCGCGCGAGUCAAAGGGCUGGCUAAACCCCAAGGCGAAACGAAAGUGAACACGGCUCGAUCCGUUUCGGGGCGAGUGGGCUUUGUUGUUCACUCUCCCCGAUUCAUCUCUUAGUCGAGAGCGGCGCAGGGCCGGGGCUCGCACGCGACCUCCCCGUCGUUAAUGCCUGGUCGUUCGUUAUGCUCUGGUCGUUCGCCAGAGCGGUUCGCCCCUAGGGCGUUUUCCCCGACACUCUCGUCGUUUCGGCGGCGAGGGCUAGUGGAGGCGUUCGAGGGGUCCGUGAGUGCGGCGGUCGGGGCGGCGACCGGCAGGCGUGGGACGAGCAGCGGGUUCUCCGAGCGCGCAUCCUAGUACCCGAAAGAUGGUGAUCUAUGCUUGGCCAGGAUGAAGCCAGAGGAAACUCUGGUGGAGGUCUCGUAGCGAUUCUGACGUGCAAAUCGAUCGUCG
rnacentral:rRNA from 1 species